rnacentral:rRNA from 1 species
GUCCACGCCGUAAACGAUGCUAACUCGUUUUUGGGUUUUCGGAUUCAGAGACUAAGCGAAAGUGAUAAGUUAGCCACCUGGGGAGUACGUUCGCAAGAAUGAAACUCAAAGGAAUUGACGGGGGCCCGCACAAGCGGUGGAUUAUGUGGUUUAAUUCGAUGAUACGCGAGGAACCUUACCAAGGCUUAAAUGGGAAUUGACAGGUUUGGAAACAGACUUUUCUUCGGACAAUUUUCAAGGUGCUGCAUGGUUGUCGU